UACAGAGGUCUCAAGCGUUGUUCGGAUUCAUUGGGCGUAAAGGGUGCGUAGGCGGCGCGGUAAGUCGGGUGUGAAAUCUCGGAGCUUAACUCCGAAACUGCAUUCGAUACUGCCGUGCUUGAGGACUGGAGAGGAGACUGGAAUUUACGGUGUAGUGGUGAAAUGCGUAGAUAUCGGGAGGAACACCAGUGGCGAAGGCGACUUCCUGGCCUGUUCUUGACGCUGAGGCGCGAAAGCUAGGGUAGCAAACGGG
rnacentral:rRNA from 1 species